rnacentral:rRNA from 1 species
GACGAACGCUGGCGGCGUGCUUAACACAUGCAAGUCGAACGGAAAGGCCCUGCUUUUGUGGGGUGCUCGAGUGGCGCACGGGUGAGUAACACGUGAGUAACCUGCCCUUGACUUUGGGAUAACUUCAGGAAACUGGGGCUAAUACCGGAUAUGAGCUCCUGCUGCAUGGUGGGGGUUGGAAAGUUUCGGCGGUUGGGGAUGGACUCGCGGCUUAUCAGCUUGUUGGUGUGGUAGUGGCUUACCAAGGCUUUGACGGGUAGCCGGCCUGAGAGGGUGACCGGCCACAUUGGGACUGAGAUACGGCCCAGACUCCUACGGGAGGCAGCAGUGGGGAAUAUUGCACAAUGGGCGGAAGCCUGAUGCAGCAACGCCGCGUGCGGGAUGACGGCCUUCGGGUUGUAAACCGCUUUCGCCUGUGACGAAGAGUGAGUGACGGUAAUGGGUAAAGAAGCACCGGCUAACUACGUG